rnacentral:tRNA from 1 species
GCCUACGUGGCUCAGUGGUUGAGCGUCAACCUAUGAGGUAGGAGGUCAGGGUUUGAUUCCCGGUCGGGGCA